CUUAUUACGUGUUUGGCGAGGCGGUGGACAGUGUAAGGCGUUGAAAAGACCUAAGAAGAGGACGAUACUGUGAUAUGACGUGUGUGGUGCCCGCUGAUACACGUAUACGAGGGCUAAGCAUGGAUCAGCUGGUUGUGGUUCCCUCCUGCCUGGGUCUCACUGCUACACACGGCUGGAGCAGUGUGUGGUGUGGCGGUGGACAGUGUGAGGCAAGGAAAAGGCCUAAAGACAAGACAUGGUGGCGGUGAUGUUCUGUGUGUGUGACAUUUGGCCCGGGCAUGAAUCAGCUGGGCCUCAUAUGCUGGGCCUCGGCACACCUACGACGCGACGGAAAGGUAGCUUGUGGCUUCUUCACCAACGUCAGCAUCAGCCUCGAAGAUGUCGGUGAGU